rnacentral:lncRNA from 1 species
CAGAGGGCACAAUAUACACUUCAGCUAACAAGGCCAGCAUGCUGUAGACUGACUCACCAACACACCCACCCACCCCCUUCUCUAAAAACCAAUCAGUAGUGCUUUCAAAAGCAAUCUAGAAAAAGAAAAGCCAUUCCAGCUGUGUGAUUUCACAAUGUUUUCAGCCUGUUGUUUAUUUAAAUUUUUUAUUCUUUGGUUUUCCCUAGUUUUUGGAACCAUUCUUUGCUGGACUCAAACCCCGCUGUAACUCCACUCUGCAUUCCAAGUCAACUGAGCAAACUGGUGACACGAGAAAAGCCAUCUAUACAGAGGUAGGAGUCUCCGUAGUCUCUUCUGACCUGUUCUGGAAGAUUACUCCAGCGUUUCUUCAGGUCGUCUUCAAUCAGACCCAGAUCUGUGACUUGCGUCUUGAAGAAACCUGGUUCAAUGAUGCUCACCUUCACUCCAAAAUGGACCAUAUCCCUCCUGAACACAACGCCUACACACACCUCAGGCUGUCAGAAAAGGCCUCAACGCCAAAUUUGGACAGGCAGUAUCCUCCGCCAAUGAUUGAGAGUCUGCCCAAAAUACUGGCCACGUUCACCACUCGACCCUGGGCCUUCUUCAGCAGAGGAAGAAACUUGAGUGUCACUGCGAUCACACCAGUCAGAUUCACAUCCAGAACCUUCUUGAAGUCAUGAAGCUGCAUCCAGUCCAUCGGCCCGAUGGGCACAGAGACCCCCGCGUUAUUCACCAAACCCCACAGGCCUGACAUGCAAAAAAAAAAAAAAAAAAAAAAACAAUCACACAAAGUCACUAAAGUAUAAAUAUGAAUACAUGUUAGGUAUAUUAUAAUGAAAGUGACAUAUUUUAUCUCUUCAAUAGGCUUCUGUCAAAGUCAUUUCUAUGCUAAUGUACUUAAAAAUAGCUAAAUCUGUGCAGAAAAACUUCUCUACUGAAAAUUCAACCAAUCAGAGAGUUGCUGUGAGCAAAGUUCAAC